AUUAGAUUUUUGCCUCAUUUGUUAACCCUAAAAUUUUCCCCAUCUCUCUCUCUUCUCCCCUUUCUGUCCAGCCGCCGCCCACUCGCCGCCACCUCUGCCACCGUCCGCCGCCACAGCGGUAGGUCCAAAUACCCCCAAAAUUUUAUCAUGUAAUCUCCAACACCUCCUCUUUCCACUUCAUCAAACCAAAUCCUUCAAAACCCCCUUGAACUCCAUGAAUUUUAGAUCUAGAAAAACCCUAGCCACCACUUUUUACAUAAAUUCGGGAUGAUUGAGCCCUUCUUUCCAGCUAAUUUUCACAUGAAUGGGUAUAACUUGAUGGGGCUACUACUUGGCAUUGGUUUCAUGCCAAAAAUUCGGCAACCACCACUGACCGCCCAACACCGCCGCUGCCCGCCACCUCUUCCGCCGUCACUGCCACCACCUCACUGCCCGCAACCACCACCAGCCCACUGACCCCUCUAUUAUUAUUUUUUUAGCCUAGUUUUGACCCAAGAAAAUUUGUUUCCUCUUGGUAUGAUGCUGGGUUCAUUGAGUUCAGCGUAUUCCAAAAGGAAACGAACGUUCCAAGGUCGGAAAGCUACCUUUUGGCGUCCUCAGCAUCGUCUCGUUGCUCGAUUCGACGCCGGAUGUCCCAGAGCUUGGUAAUGCUUCAUCCUUUGUAAUAGCAAUCAGUGAAGGUUUGAGCAUGUUUAUAUUAUUGAGCAUCUUUAAAGGAGUUUUCCAGAAGUUUCAGUUUUGAAUCCGGCUUGGGGAUCAUAGUGUUAAAUCCAUGACUUUGUUGCUCUGUUUUUCCUAUGUAGUAUUUUUUCCAUCUUUUAAGUAGUAUUUCAAUAUAAUCUUGGCAAUAUUUUAGAAAAGGAAAUAGUAUGUUAAAGAUUUAAUGAAGACUUUGGAGUGGACAGAAGCUAUGGAGUUUGUGGAAAAGAGUCUUGUUUGGCUUAAGAUCUCUGCCAUUUUGCUUGCCGGAAGUUGGAAUUAAUAUCAUCAAAGGAUCACAUAAUGAUCUAGUUUUAUUAUUCCCCUGUUGUAGCAAUGUUGUUUUGGCUUUAGUGGAUUUCUCAUUACCCUAUUGUUCGUUCUAGAUUUCAUGUUUCUUUUACUAGUCCCCUUUAGUACUUACUUUAGUUAGUGAAAGCUGAAAUUUUUUUUUUCAA